GAGGUGUCCGCCUGGUGUAAAACUGCCUUGAUUGGUUGAUUGGUGAGUAGCGUCACGGUAUGCCCUUGAAAGUAGGGUCGGAGCCUCCGGGCUGCAAUCAAUAAGGCGUAAGUCAGUUUUUCUAAUUUGGUGUACCUGGUCUCGGAGUCCCUUAACGCACGGCUAACGUAGUAGAUUGGCCGCUGGACUUUCGCUUCCUCUUUGACAAGAACGGUCGCGAGGGCCAUGGGAGAGACAGCCAGGUAUAGAAAUAGC
rnacentral:lncRNA from 1 species